AGCAGAGUGGCUUAGUGGAAUAAGCACAAGCCUGGGGAGCAAAAGGACCUGGGUUUCAACCCCAGCUCCACUG
rnacentral:tRNA from 1 species